UUUUCCAUUCAGUCAGCAUUAGGAAUUUAAAACCCUAAACUAAACUCUUUCCAUUCAGUCAGCAUUAGGGUUUUAAACCCUAAACUGAACUUUUUCCAUUCAGUCAGCAUUAGGGUUUUAAACCCUAAACUGAACUCUUUCCUUUGGUCAGCAUUAGGGUUUUAAACCCUAAACUGAACUUUUUCCAUUCAGUCAGCAUUAGGGUUUUAAACCCUAAACUGAACUCUUUUCCAUUCAGUCAGCAUUAGGGUUUUAAACCCUAAACUGAACUCUUUUCCAUUCAGUCAGCAUUAGGGUUUUAAACCCUAAACUGAACUCUUUCCUUUAAUCAGCAUUAGGGUUUUAAACCCUAAACUGAACUUUUCCAUUCAGUCAGCAUUAGGGUUUUAAACCCUAAACUGAACUUUUUCCAUUCAGCCAGCAUUAAGGUUUUAAACCCUAAACUGAACUCUUUCCUUUAAUCAGGAUUAGGGUUUUAAACCUUAAACUGAACUUUUCCCUUCAGUCAGCAUUAGGGGUUUUAGACCCUAAACUGAACUUUUCCUGUAGUCAGCAUUAGGGUUUUAAACCCUAAACUGAACUCUUUUCCAUUCAGUCAGCAUUAGGGUUUUAAACCCUAAACUAAACUUUUUCCUGUAGUCAGAGUCAGCAUUAGGGUUUCAAACCCUAAACUGAACUCUUUCCAGCCAGUCAGUAUUAGGGUUUUAAACUCUAAACUUAACUUUCCCUUUAGUCAGCAUUA
rnacentral:lncRNA from 1 species